rnacentral:rRNA from 1 species
UACGUAGGGUGCAAGCGUUAAUCGGAAUUACUGGGCGUAAAGCGUGCGCAGGCGGUUUUGCAAGUCAGAUGUGAAAUCCCCGGGCUCAACCUGGGAACUGCAUUUGUGACUGCAUGGCUAGAGUACGGUAGAGGGGGAUGGAAUUCCGCGUGUAGCAGUGAAAUGCGUAGAUAUGCGGAGGAACACCGAUGGCGAAGGCAAUCCCCUGGACCUGUACUGACGCUCAUGCACGAAAGCGUGGGGAGCAAACAGG